AAGAUAUACUAAAGAAAAGUAUUCUUUCUGAAUACUGAAAGUUUAAGUGUACUUGGCUUGUACUUGUGUUUACUCUUUUAACCUUAUUAAAUAAUUUUCACAUCCAAGUUAACAUGCAAGUUAACAUCAAGUCUGCUUGCUUAAAGUACAGUUAAUGGUUUAUUUCAAGCAUAAAUACUAUAAGCUAAUUGGAAACUUAGUGUAUAUAAAAUCUCCAGUGUUGAAAUCCUGGUGUUAAGGACUUUUAGAGUAAAGUGUUAAUUUUCUGGUGUUGAAUUUCAAGGGAUUAACACUGCUAGUGUAAACCAAACUCUCUGGCUGGUGAAAAUAUGUGGAGUUCAAUCUAAAUAAAUUACACCAGAGAAUGCUUUGAGAACACGUGUUACUAGUCACAUCCGGGACAUUUACGCGCUGGGCGGGACGAAACGAGUUGAAACUUUCUUCACAGACGUCAUUUUCUUUGACUCCAGUCGCAAGACAUACGAGGAGGAAACACGCAUUUAUAUAUUCAUUUUAUAACAUCAUAUUGUUUUAUAACAAUAUGUAUGUGCUGUGGACGAGCAAACCGCUCUCAGAGGGGCAUUUUCUAUGACGCGCGAUGCGGAGCAGACCAGGAUGGGUUUGCUUUUUAACAGGGAAACAACGAAAACGACAUCAUCUUUAAACACGGAGCUGACGAGGAGGAGCCUUAACGUUAACAGGGAAACACCUAAGUUAAAUCUAGGUCCUGCGCAUCUUUGACUCGUGACCUGCUCGUGACGCAUUUCAAAAAGCAGUGCAGAGUGCAGGACACAGAGUUUGCAUUUAACAGUGAAAACACCGAGUAACAGACCUAACGUUAACGUAUAAAACAGAAGAACAACUCCACAAACUGCGGACCAAAUGCACGUGGAAUUUUCACUGUAUUUCCUUAUUUGGAGGACCAAUCUUCUUAGAAUGGGAGCAUUUCUAUGAUGCACCAAGUGACUAAGGGUACCAGGCUUGGUGUUUAAAGACGGUACAGACUAGAAAGAUCAUGGUCAUGGAAAGAUAACAGAUAAGUUAACAUAUGAGAGAAUCAUGGGGACAAACAAAAAAUAAUCAUAGCUUGGUUGCUAUUUGGUAUAGCUAGAUUUUCUUUGUUCCAUAACACUCAUUUUGAAUUUGUCCAGUCAAAUUACUUUACAAAAGUAUAUCUAGUAUAAAUAUAUAUAUAUAUAUAUACUUAAAAUAAGAUUUCGAACCAAUGGUUUUCAUGAUUUGACAAGUAGAUGUUUUCUUGCUGUUUAAUUUUAGACUCAACUGAUUGGAAAAUCUCUGCCCAUCACCUGCCCCCAACAUUACAAAGCCACAAGACGGGAAGACCGAUCCUUCCGGAAUCCGGCGGCUGACAAUUUAGUGAGAUUUCUUAAGGUACCCAGUACUACAGGAUUUUUCGAGAAAGUUGGCUCUACACAGCCUUUGCUGCUCUGUGAAACAACUAUGCACUGAACUUUACUGUUAGUGACUGGACACACACAACUGAUCCACUCAUAUCCUGCUUCUGGUUCUUCAUGUGCUGAAUGUUUUUGACUCAAGCACUGCUGUACUGUUGCAAAGGUACUGAAUCAACUUCACUGACACAGGACUCACAUUCACUGAUAUGUUCAGGACACCAUUUGAUCACAUCAUAUAAUUCUGAUUACAGAAAUCGGUAUAUUGUGCAUUCAUCGUUUAUUUUAAAAGUUAACCUAUGAUGUAAACGGGCUUGUUCGGUAAUAAAAAAAAUAGUUUGCUUGAAACAACUGUUUACAUUUGCCUUUGUUUUCAACUUUACAAUGAACAGAAUUCUACUAUGAUCCCAUACUUUCUGGAUUGUUUUGAAAUAAAGUUUUGAAAGAGUAAUAAAGAGUUAUGUGUUUUUCAAAGUGAAAUUAUUCUUUUCAGAUUUAAAGAACUGAA